UACGAGGGGGGCAAGCGUUGUUCGGAAUUAUUGGGCGUAAAGGGCGCGUAGGCGGUGCGGUAAGUCACCUGUGAAAACUCUGGGCUCAACUCAGAGCCUGCAGGCGAAACUGCCGUGCUGGAGUGUGGGAGAGGUGCGUGGAAUUCCCGGUGUAGCGGUGAAAUGCGUAGAUAUCGGAAGGAACAUCAGUGGCGAAAGCGGCUUCCUGGACCAGCACCGACGGUUCAGGCACGAAAGCGUGGGAGCAAACAGG
rnacentral:rRNA from 1 species